ensembl:lncRNA
UGCCACAGAUCCCCGUCACUCGCACUGGGGCAUUUUAGGGAAAACAUUCAACCUCACUGGAGUCAAGAGUGUAAGUUAAAACGAUAGCAGUGCAGCCGCUGCCUUGACCCAGCAGUCAUGGUGAUGACCAUUUCCCUCUCCUCUGAAGCCAGUGGCUCCCUUUGCUGUGGUUGCUCUCCUUCCUGCCCACCCUGCAUCGCUUUGCAGUGCACUGAAGAAAUGUGCUGUCUUCCAAGUCUCACAUAAAUGUGACAUCGGACACAGGAGGGAGUCCAGAGGAAAAUCCUCGGCAGAGCUGAGCAAGGGUGCAAGAAAUCCUGACAUCAAAAUGUUUGAGAAUUGCUGAACACUCCCCCAGGAUGGAUGCAGAAAGAUGAUGUAAACAUGCUCAGCACAAGGAUUUUGCUUGCAGGUCAUAGGAGCUCUAAGCUACUUCUCUAUCAGCAUUUCUGACAGCCUGAUACUAUGCUCCUCCCCCAAGUUGAAGGUGUUGGAUUAGUUGGAGUGCAGACUGUAAGUCAUUACAAGAAAUUCCCUUUAUACAAACACACACACACACACACACACACACACACACACACACACACACACACACACACACACUCCAUAAGUCACUGACUAUACAGAACCAUGAAAAAUACUUCAGGAGAGAACUCUGCAUGACCUGACUUGAUUCCACAAAACAACCUAUGCCUUGUCCACAAAGGAUUUAUCACAACAAACAAAGAAUUCAUAAUGAUCUGAGCCUAUAUUUUCUCUACAAAUUUUUCUCAGUGCAUGAGUCAUUUGAGUCAAUUACACAAUCUGGUAAGAAGUUGCACACUAUCCUAAUUCCAAGAGUUUCUCUACCACAGGGAUCUCUCCUCAGUUUGGCUUCCUCCUGAAUACCAGGCCCCUUUAGAGUAUCACUUUUUAAUGCUGUAUUAGAAAGCUGGAUAUCCUAGGAACUUUAUCUCCCAGUGGAAAGAAAGUUAAGUCCAUGUCAAAUCCAUUGAAGAGAGAACUAAAUGAGGGGAUAUUGGCUGGCUGAGAUUCUCCAUGGGCUCCUUUCUGUACUAAGUAGUGCAGGGAAUAGCCAUCACUGUUAUUACUGGCAAGAGUGAACACAGCUGUCUCUUGUUUUACCCUUGGAAAUAAACCCUUUUGUUAGAGCUAAUGGAGCAGCAGUAUCCAGAGGGCCUCAAAACAUCUCCCGAUUCUUAUCUCAGAUAUGUAUCCAGAACUCUGACUGCAGAUUCAAAUAAACAUGAUGGAAGACUGUACAUAAAGAGAUAAUUGGCCACAUGGGAUUUUAUUCUAAGUAGGAAAUUUUCCUCAGACUUCUGAGAACUUGAACAUCACAUCUCUGCCACUUCUGUCAUUGCAGCUAUGAAUCUGUCCACUAUUUUCUUCAUGCUUCACAAUGGAGUUGAUGUCAGCCCAUAAACCACAGGCUAAAUUAGCAACUGUGCAGAGGAAAUCUGUUAUCAUGUGGCAUGGUACAUGCUCAUCUCAGGUUUGAUAUUCCCAUGGAGACUUGAAUUAUGAUUCCAUCAUUUGCCUACUUUUAGGACUUCUCUUCCCUAUCAGAAAAGUCACCACUGUUCCCAUAAGCAGGGCUCUAAGAACCAGAGCAGUCACAAUAGCCAUGAAUGAGAAGGUACACAGGGGCAGCUCUUGUUAGUGAAAGGAAAGAAAGCAAGUAUGAGGCCUCUGACCUUCAGCUCUCCAUCUCGACCCUGUUCUAGUUAUCCAACAGAUCCCCAUUCCCUCUUUAUAGUCUCUGUGCUCACUCCCAAUCCUUACCACAUCUUGGUGUAAUGGGCUCAUCUCAUGAUUCACACGACUUCUAUAUCUUUGCUCUUCCCCAGGGCAUCACCACACUGCUCUUCUAUGGAAGGUUCCAUCCCCUGCAGGCCUAUGCUGUACCACCUCCAUGUCCUGGGUCUGAUUGCUCUCAUACCUCUGCAAGGUUAGGGUUGAUUCAUUUUGAGAGACAUUCAGCACCUCAGCACCCGGUACCUCAGGGUGAUUUUCCUGUCAGGUCUGUCCCUAGGGUUUACAUGUACUUUUAGUAUGUCUGAGGAAAACAAUUCAAAACUUAAAAGGCAUUUUUCAGUCUUCCAGAGGUUCCAUUAGUGCUCAAGUUACGUUUUUAUGAAGGGACGGGAGAGUUGGCUUGAAGGAUGAGUACCAACACCACACAGUAGCCAAAAUUCAGGGUAUGGAUGGGGUAAUUGAGAAUCAUGAACCAGAAAAGAGGAGAUGAUGAAUAUCCCUUUAGGAAUAUGGACUUACUGACUGAGUGGAGUUGAAAGACUCAGAAACAUUGGAGUCAGACUAUAAAGUCAUUGUGCAUGGACAUUAGAACAGGUUUAAGAGAGAUCAUGAUUCCCAAAGUAAAUGGAAGAACUUGCUGUUUAUUUGACAUACUGACCUGUCCUGAGUGAAGGUUUAGCCCUCUGGGACCAAUCCUCAGAGGACAGGAGCUCCAGUCUUAGAACACAUGAAACAUUUUCUGUCCUCAUCUGUACAAGAUUUCCUUCCCAUAGUCCAUCUGUGAGAGGAGUGACUUCCCACAUUCAAUCUCCAGGAUGAAGAUAUUUGUUCCCAAGGCUCUCCCCCUGCUGAUGCAAAGUAUGCUGGUCCUGAUAACCAGUUGAAAGGCUGAGUGGUGUUGUCCAUAAGGAAAGUACUUUAGCAACAAAAGACUCCAUCCACAGGGGUGGGAGAUCAGGAAACUCUGUCUUCUCCCUUGUCCAGCUAGAACCUAUGUUUGCUUCUUUAUAUUACUUCGUAACCUUUCCCCUUGUUCCCUAAUCCCAGCUAUCCUUGGGGGCUUUUUUUGUGGAGCAUCACAGGUUCCUAGUGUGGGGUUAACACCUGAAGACUCAUUAUACCUAGGUACACACUUUCUUGGCUUUUACCAAACACUCUUCACCUGGCCUGGGCUUCCUGAUCCUCAGUUCAUCAGGGUUGAUUUUCUGGACGACACCAAUUUGAGAGAUUCAACAACAGAAAAGAUGUUCAGUGGAUGGAACAAUGUGCACCAUGUGUAGAUCAAAAGAAACCAGAGUAUUGGGAGAAUAACACAGACAUUGUUUUGGGCUAUUAUCAGGAAUUCAGAGAGUUACUGUAAAGAAUGCUCUGAAUCUACAAUUUCAAUGCAACUGGUGAGCAAGCCCCAUUCAGAAUUCCCAAAUUUCCAGCUCUCCAUGGGGUUGUUCCUGACUUCCAUGUCCAAGUACUUCCCCUGGAAAAAGUGAUCCAUGGCACUAGAGAGCCAUGGGACACUCUUCUGAAUUUCUGUCCACUUUGAUACUAAAUCAGUCCACUUAGAAAGGGCAUAUCGAAGGGACAAAUUCUCUGCAGAAGCCUAUCACUUGUCGGGACCUGUAGGAGCGGCUGAUAGUGUGUUCUUGCUCAUAAUAUCACACAAUCAAGAGUAGGUAUGGCUGCUACGCCCUGCUUCAAUGUGACUUCGGUCAUGAAUUUUUUGAAAUGGCCUUCAAUGGCCAUGAUUAUAUCAUGCUGAAUGAAGACCUGAAGAUUUGGAUCACAGUUGGCAAGGUUGCUUUGAUGCUUAGGUAUUGUGGAAUUCAUCAGAUUUUGCACAAAUUUUGUAGACUUACCUGUUGGGAAGUUGUGUGGAUUUACUCUUCAC